rnacentral:tRNA from 1 species
UCGGAUAUGGUGUAAUGGUUAACAUUACCGCCUCUCACUUAGGAUUCGCGGUAGCUCGGGGUUCGAUUCCCCGUAUCCGAA